UUUAAGGUAGAGUUGAAAACUGAGCUGCAUACAAUAAAUGUAGAUUUCUAGCCUCAGUUGCAAUGUAGAAGCUCAUCCUGAGUUCAUUCCUCAAAUGAGCUCUCAAGCAGGAUUUAUUAGUUUCAAACAUAUAUUGUAAAUGUCUCUUAUCAAAUUGGGAAAGCUGUCUUUUAUUUUUAUUUUUGUUAUGCUUCUUUUGAAAAGAGGCAGACAGGCCAGAGCAGCCAAAGGGCCAGAUGUAGCUGGUUUUGAGUUAUGAAGAGAGGAUGGCAGCUUUUGUCAUGACAGCCCCACUCCUGCCAUUGCUCUGGACCUGUGAUGUAUGACUGAUGGCUCUCGGGCUUUCUAUAGGACCAAUAGGACCUCCAGGCUGGCUGCAUAUGGGGAGGUCAAUUUGAAUGACACUGAAGAAAUUGCUCCCCUCUUGCACACACCCAUAUUCAGUUGUCAGUUUUGGAUUUUAAACCCUCAUUCUGUUAGGGAAAAAAAUGAAAGUUUCCCUGUUUUUUUGUGCUACAUGUGAUUGUGCCUUUACAUUGUUAAAUGAACAGACAAUUUCCCAUAUGAAAGGCAGAGGUCAUAGGCAACCAAGAGAAUAGACUCCUGGACUGCUCAUCCACUCUACCCAUGAGACAACCACCAUCUCUGGGUAGAUGUGAACGUGACCAUGGUGAAAAACCAGUUACUUAGGGAACGAGGUUGUAUGCCUGUUUACAAAAUCAGCCAGUGCCCUCUCCUACUGGCCUGGCUUGGUAGCAUAUAGAAACCCCUUCUGGUUUCUCCUGUGGCCUCUCAUUCUACCACCACUUUCCCUGUAGUCUAACUGGUCUCUGCUAUGGCAUUAAGAAGGCUGUGACUAUGACUAUGAUUAUGUCGGACAGAUGGGGAGGAAGCUAACCAUCAGAUUGCAAGAACACACACAAGUAGUCAGAUGAGGAGACCCAAACUCAUUGGGUUGCUUGACCUUGCAAUCAACAAGGAUAUACAUUGAGGUGUAGGAGCUACUAAGAUUGUUGGACAGGCAGGUACAAAAAGCCAGAGAAGUGAUUGAAACCUGGAAAAUGGGCCCAUAGGACUGCUGAUUUACCAUCAGCUUAUCAAGUACUUAGGAGGUGAGGGCUUGGUAGCACAAGAAAACAACAGCCAACUUCUUAAUAGUCAUCCAUCAACACCCCAAUCAAUGACUAAAAAGCCACACACAACCAGACACAAUAUAAAUACCACACAUAGAAUAGCCCAAGGCAUACACACUGCUAGAGGGAUGUUCCUGAGGAUGGGCUCCAGCACAAGUCUGAAAGCUUGGAAGACUAAACCUCUGAUCCUGGUGACUGAUCCAGAUUGGAUCCUGCAAUAUUAUCAUGGGACAUGUAUAUUCACCUUCAUUCGUUAAGAAGACUAUUAAGGGUAAGUGUGGCCCUCUCAGCUGCCAAGAACCAGAAAGGAGGGGAGAAAGGGCCCCAAUUCCCUCUCCUUCACUCAGGUCUUUUUCUCUGUCCCCCUCUCCUCACAGAACAUCUUCGAAAGGUGUCCAGGUUCUUGUUUUGUAGGCACCAGGGAGAAGACCUUCCUGUGCCACCUGACAGAUACCAAAGCUUUCUAAACCUCAAGCAAGGAGCCAUGACAUGCCACAAGAGUCUGCAAGAGCCUCUACUGCCCCAAAACCGCUUCAGGGAAAAAAAGACAGACUGGCUAGUCUUGGAAGAGGGAAGAUAAACUAGCUGGAUGUUCUUCCACAUCUCACCUUUUCCCUCCUGUCAGGACCCAAGAACACAGGAGUGAGUUGCACAUCAAGCUCUCGUGAUGGGGACAGUCCUGCCAUUUCAAGUGCAAAAUUCCAGAUGGAUGGAUGGUUAAGUAGACACCAAUUGUCAGGCCACAGCUGAUACAAGGACACCCAGUGAAGAAAUGGUGAUUGGGAAAGUUACUAUGCAUCCAUCUUAUUAUGAGCCCCUCAAGGAGAAAGGAUUAUCUUCCAAAUAGAAGAAGAGUCUUUCCAGAAAUAUUGCCAAGUGCCCCAACCUUGAACGCAGCUGAUUUGGAGAACAGUGGGUGAUUAUUUUGGAAGCAACAUUCUCUUAACUUAAGGUUUCUGAAUGCACUUUUCUUAAGGGGCUGGACUUUGCACCAUCAUUUUGGUAUGCAGAGAACAUUGGAUUUAUACCUUGAAACAAACAGUUAUCAUUUUUAAUGUUCAAUAAAAGUCCAGGGUACCACCAGGACCCACAACCUGGAAGAUUCAACAAGAUAAUUGCUCCCAAGACGGAUUCUUAAGACCCCGGGAAAACAGUUGCAUCACCAUCCUGAAGAAAAAAAGGCUACGAGAAUCAUCUAAUAUAUAACUAAUUGAAAUGGGUACUCUGUCCCUGGACAGGAAGGCUUUCUCUUUUCUCCUUAAUCAGUGGGAUAGGGGCCCUUUUAGGCCAAAGGGGGCUAGACGAAGGCACCUGGACAUGGAGUGCAUGCUUAAAGUUCAAUAAACGACACAGAAUUUUGCCACUGCACGCGUGGUAGCUGGAUUAGAGUCUUGGAGGAGAACACCUACAUAAAAGUCAUCUGUCCUCCCUGGCAAUCUCUCUAAUAAGGGGAGAAUGUAUAUUGACCUACAUAUUCUGUAUAACUCACAGUACAAUAAAACAUGUGAGAUAUC